rnacentral:rRNA from 1 species
UACGGAGGGUGCAAGCGUUAUCCGGAUUUACUGGGUUUAAAGGGUGCGUAGGCGGGCUUUUAAGUCAGCGGUGAAAUCUCCGGGCUUAACUCGGAAAUUGCCGUUGAUACUAUUAGUCUUGAAUUAAGUUGAGGUGGGCGGAAUAAGUCAUGUAGCGGUGAAAUGCUUAGAUAUGACUUAGAACACCGAUUGCGAAGGCAGCUCGCUAAACUUAUAUUGACGCUGAGGCACGAAAGCGUGGGGAUCAAACAGG